AGGGGUAUAGUUUAAUGGUAGAACAGCAGCCUUCAAAUUUGCUUAUGUGGGUUCAAUUCCUGCUACCCCUG
rnacentral:tRNA from 1 species